UCCCUACGGGCGCAGCAGUGAGGAAUAUUGGUCAAUGGGCGAGAGCCUGAACCAGCCAAGUCGCGUGAGGGAGUACUGCCCUAUGGGUUGUAAACCUCUUUUGUCGGGGAGCAAAAGCCGGACGUGUCCGUCUGUGAGAGUACCCGAAGAAAAAGCAUCGGCUAACUCCGUGCCAGCAGCCGCGGUAAUACGGAGGAUGCGAGCGUUAUCCGGAUUUAUUGGGUUUAAAGGGUGCGCAGGCGGAGGUGCAAGUCAGCGGUCAAAUUGCGGGGCUCAACCCCGUACUGCCGUUGAAAC
rnacentral:rRNA from 1 species